rnacentral:misc_RNA from 1 species
CGCCCCAGCGGCUAACCGCAUCAAGAUAUACGGAUUUGUUUUUGACUGGCAUUUGUCUUUCAGGUGUCGCAUAUGUGUGCCUUGCCUCUGAUAGCUGACUACUGUGCUUGGUAGCCACAUUGACUGCACGCACGACCACUCACAAUCCCGGACGAAGUGUCGCAUAUGUGUGCCUUGCCUCUGAUAGCUGACUACUGUGCUUGGUAGCCACAUUGACUGCACGCACGACCACUCACAAUCCCGGACGAAGUGAGUCUCACUUAUAUCUCUUCGAUAGGCACUACUGGCACUGGCUAGACAGCGCGAUACUGUGUGAUUGGAUUAUUUAAUCAGCCAGUCUGGUAUAUUUAAACGAGCGGUGCUUAGAGUUUGAGUUCAGUUUCUUAGUAACCAACAUGAUCUGUUCGCUCGUUCAUGUGCUACCCCCUACUGCGGCGAUUGGUUAUGUGCCGGAUGUAUUACACCUUUCGUCCGUUGUCCCCACAGUUAUAACGGUCAUCACGGUCUGCGACUACUGUGGGCCCACCGACUACAAGCCCUGAUCACAAUAAAUCUUGUAGAACUCUG